UCAAAUUUGAGUCCCGACUGGUCCCUUUUUGUUGCCAUCUGCGCUCCGAAAGUCCAGACAGCUCCACCCUAAAAACCGUUUAGACGAGAUUCUUAUCCUUUCACUCGCUUAUCAAAUCCCAUACCGUUAUCUCUUUCUAAACGGCCAGGAUCCUGUUUUCUGUCCCUUUUUUGCACAUGCGCUUGAAUUGUUCUAUCCUUUCUGGCUCGUACUAAUUCGUGUAUUUCCGCUUCCCACAGCGUCGGCCAUGUUUGGCGGGACUGUCAAGUCAAGUCAAGUCAAUGCCAGUUUGGCGCGUAUGUAGCAGGAUGAACAAGAUGCUGCUGAAGAUCGCUUCGGUCUAGGAUGUUUGCCGGCGAGAGACGCCUCAUUUUUUCUACGCAGCCGUAUGGGACUUCGUUUGGCUGUUCUUUAGACACCUUUUCUAAUACAAUUGCCUAGUAUAAAGUUAUUAAUAAGAUAUACAAUUUUCAUAUUUAUUUAAUUAUGUAACAAGAAAAUAAUUCUAAUAAAGCGCGAGAAUUCUCUGGAACUUAAAUAAGUACGAACUCUUCGUGUUGAUUAAAAUAGGCAUUAGGUAGUUCAAAGAAGUGUAUAAAAAUAAUAAAUUAAAAUUUGACCAUUAAAAAUUUUUAGAGAAACAUAUCCAAAAUGUUCUUUGUUGAAAGAUUGGGCUUUAAUAGUUAUUAAUUUUUGAGAAUUUUGUGAGUUGUAAAUAAUAUUUUAUUCUGGUAAAUUUUCUUUCAGUUAUCGGUUAAAUUAUAACGUAGGAAUCUACGUAAUACCGAAAUAGAUGCUGUUAAUAAAUUAUGCGACAGCUUAGAAAAACCCUUAAUGUUAAUUAGGCACCGGAGCUUUUCAAGGUAUUGAUAUAACUUAGCAUCACAAAAAUACCCCAAAUUAUUAAAUCAGUGCAAAUUCGUAUACUUCAAGUAGGCUUAGCUUAAAAGUAGUUUUGUAACAUCAAGCUUGUCUGUUCGUAUUACCUCUACCACAGGUUCGGAAGGUAAAUUCUUCUGAGAAGAGCCUGUAAUAGGCUCAAUAUUAACUUUAACUUUUUUCAAGAUACUAAAAUUACUAAUCUCUGACAAUUUAAUUUUUCUUGUCUGAAAAUGAAAGCUGAUUCAAUUACCUCCAGGCAUCCUCCUCAUUAGAAAAACACACCUGCUUACUGCAUAUUCUUAAUUCAUUGCGUGUGUAAAGCCAAUCUGAAUUAGGCCAGUGUGGUGGACGUGCUCUGCAGUAAGCCGAAUAUAGGUUGAUAAUAAUGAUCCUCCAUAUUAAUAUGCACUUAAAUUAGCAUUAAUAUUAGAAUUAUUUUCUUUUAAAUCGUACCACAAAAACAUGAAAUGUAUGUAAAUGUACUAACAGUUUUCCACACUUUAGCUUUACAACAUGAAGUAUCAAGAAGAAUCCCGAAGAAGAGGAAGCAUUUGGUGCGUUUCAAGCAUCAAUAUUAGUGCCCUACAUCUACCCUGUAGAUCCGAAUUUGUUUGAAGUGAGGCGACAAAUUCGGUUCUAGAGAGGUUUGUGUGGUGCAUGCACGGCCACCAUUAAGACCAUGCUGCAGAUCAGAAGACUGGAAGAUUUGUUUCAUAUAUGUGUCCUGUGUUACUUAUAGAAUAGAAUAGAAUAGAAUAGAAAUCAUUUAUUUGUUAACACAACACUACACUACAUAAUAACUUAAAACUUACCAACCAACCAGGUGGACUGACGACAUCAAGCGAGUCGCAGGGAUUCGCUGGAUGCAGGUGGCUCAUCAGGUAUCGUGAUGUUUGGAAGUCCCUGCAAAAGGCCUAUGUCCUGCAGUGGACGUCCAUCGGCUGAUAUGAUGAUGAUGAUGAACUUAAAACUAAUACAUAUAUGUAUAGAAAAUAUGUUGUGCCAAAAAAAAUGGACCUGACUCAGCUAAAAUUUGUUGUGAGUACAUCAGUACCCACAACGCUGGUAUUCUGUCAGACCCUUAGGAGGGAAGAACAGAACACAUAAAAUAAUUAUAUCACUAAUAAAAUAAAACAAAAUACAGUUUAAAAAUACAGUAGUGUAAUAUCAGAAGUACAAAAAAUUUAAUCUCAAAAGCUAGCAAACACAAAAGAAAAGAAAAAUUUAAAAAAAGAAAAAAAAAUAUAUAGAAUUAAUUGUUUAUUAUUAAUGUGUGUGUAUAUUAUUUAUAUGUGUCUUAAAAUAUAAUUGUCUUAACUUAUAUUAUAUAAUUAAUUACGAUAUUGACACAUGCAUUUAUUUAAUGAAAUUAAAAAGUUAAAUUAUUGUAAAGCUGGCCCAGUAAGAAUUGUCUUGUAAAAUAACGUUUUAAUCUUACGAUUUAGUUAGAUUUUUUUAUUUUGAAGAAUUAGUCUUGGUUGUAGUCAAACGCCAGUCUAUAUUGUGUUUAAAGAGUUAGGUUAGAUAAUUUAGAUUAAAAAACAUCUUUAAGUACCUAUUAGGAAGUAGAGUGUUACAAAAUAACUUUUUAAUUUAUUACAAAAUGCAUGUGAAUAAUAUAUGUGUCUGUUUAUUUUUUUAUUUAGUAAUUCAUGUUUUAUGAUAUGAGAGUAUAUAAAGUUAUUUAUGUACCUAAUUGUAUUGCUCAAACGUUUUAUUGUAUGAGUAGAGUAUGAAACUGUGCUUACUGUUAAAACACAAUCAAUAAUAAUAAACAGAAAAUAAAAAUAUUAGGACAAUACACACAUAACUUAUCUAGCCCCCAAUAAGCGUAGAAUGUGUAUAAUACAUUUACAUAAUACACUUAUAAAUAUGUACUUAGAUUAUAUAUAAACUAUAAACAUACCCAGACAGUAAAAACACACUUGCUCAUCACAAAAAUAUUUUCAAUUGUGAUAAUCGAACCCACGGUCGUUGAUGACGAUGAUGAUACAUUUACAAAUAAAUGCACUAAUCACUGCGCCAUACGGCCGUCAAAUUAACACCAGUACAAAACUCACUUCGUUCGUUUUAAAAAUGCACUAGUGUUUUAAGUUUUUACUUAUCGAAUAAAAAUAUUUUUCUUUCUUUCUUUUUUUUUAAUAACCCAAAUUAUGCAACCUUUUCAUAACUUACUACCUAUAUAAUAUAUUAUGUUGUACCUACGUACAUAAUUAAUAUGUAAAUUAUCAGCUCGGUUCACACACUGCUCUGCAUGUACACUGCGAUUGAAAAUUAUAUUUGGUGUUCAUUCAAAAAUACAUAGGUGUUCUUGUCUUAUUAAUCUUGUCAUCUUGUCAAUGUGCUAUGGGACCUGCAAGUUUAUAAAAGACUAUAUACGUCCCGCGGUUUCACCAGCGUUGUUCCCGUUCCCGUAACGGCAAUAAAAUAUAGCUCAUGACACUAACAAAUAACAUGACUUUUUAGUGGUAAAAGAAUUUUCUAAAUCGGUUCAGUAGAUCCAGAGAUUACCCCGUAUAGCAACUUUACCUCUUUCUAACAUUGAUAGGUAAACGGUUGCAUUAAUAAUAAUAAUUUAUUUAUUCAUCAGAAAGCAGGUUUACAAAGAUUACUUAAAUAUAAUAAGACUCUGAUACUCUCUACCACAAUAAUUUGGUGUAUGAAAAAUUUAAAUAGACUAUGUAUAAUCCUAAUUUAAAAGCAAACAAAUAAAAAAAGAAAACAUAUGUAAUAGCUUAUACAAUUUAACAUUUUAAGAUUCAAUGAUUAUGACAAAUGUAACUCAAAACUACUGUGAUAGAUAAAAUAAAAUAAUAGUCAUAAUAUAUACUGUCAAAAUUAUUAAACCUUGUUAAAUUUAGUGCAAAGUCAAGUAAUUAUUACCAGUGAAAUGUUAAAAUGUCAAUUAAAAUUAUGUCAAACACAUGUCAAUUAAAAUUAUGUCAAAAUAUUUAUCAUACGUCAAAAAAAAAAAAAAGAACAUGAUUAAAAUUUGUAAUUUAAAUAGGUACUCAUUUAAGUUAUAGAAACAUUUAUCCAUAAGCAUUUUAGAAACCUUACUCUUGAAACUAUUUACAUUGUCAAUCUUAUAGAUAUCUGGUAGUUUGUUAUAUAUUGAAAUUAUGAAUAUAGUGUUUUUUAUAAAACGAAUCAAGUGUGUUUUAUAACAGAUACACUAAAGCAAUUUAUUAAAGUAGAGCAUCAAACGUCCAUACGUGUAAUUUAGCAUUAAAGCUUUCGUGUCUGUGCUAUAAAACUCAAGAUUUUUCAAAAUUCUACCCCUAAAGGUUAAAAAGUGUUUUAAUAUAAAUCGAUUAUGUUUUGAGAAAUGAUUAGUAGACUAUUUUUAUAUAUAAAACAUGCGAAAAUAGAAAUAGAAGGGGGUGAACUAGGGGUUGAAAGCUUACAUCGAUUUCAAAGCGGGGGCAGUCGCGAACGCCCGCUAGUACAAAAUAUAUCUACUUAUCAUAAGAUAAUGAAUCUGUAAAAUUGUUAUUUAUUCUCUCAAUUUUCUUGAAACACUUGAAUGACUUGAAUUUUGAAUAUUCAAAACAUUUAAAUUAAAAUAUUUUUGCGAUUAAUAUAAUGUCAUCAUUUCGAAUAAACAUUAUCAUCACUUCGAAUUAAAAAAUAAUGAUUAA